rnacentral:rRNA from 1 species
GAUUCUGGCUCAGGACGAACGCUGGCGGCGUGCUUAACACAUGCAAGUCGAACGGGGAUAGUGAUAGAGAGCUCGGCAGGAAAUUGAUAAUCGAGUGGCGGACGGGUGAGUAACGCGUGAGCAACCUGUCCCAGACAGGGGGAUAACACUUGGAAACAGGUGCUAAUACCGCAUAAGACCACGGGAUCACAUGGUUCUGGGGUAAAAGGAGCAAUCCGGUUUGGGGUGGGCUCGCGUCCGAUUAGCCAGUUGGCGGGUAACGGCCCACCAAAGCGACGAUCGGUAGCCGACCUGAGAGGGUGAACAGCCACAUUGGAACUGAGAGACGGUCCAAACUCCUACGGGAGGCAGCAGUGGGGAAUAUUGGGCAAUGGGCGAAAGCCUGACCCAGCAACGCCGCGUGAGUGAAGAAGGCCUUCGGGUUGUAAAGCUCUGUUAUAGUUGACGAAGGAAGUGACGGUAGGCUAUAAGGAAGCCCCGGCUAACUACGUGCCAGCAGCGGC